AGAGUUUGAUCAUGGCUCAGAAUGAACGUUGGCGGCGUGGAUUAGGCAUGCAAGUCGAGCGAGAACUAGUAGCAAUACUGGGGAAAGCGGCGAAAGGGAGAGUAAUACGUAGGUACCUACCCUCAGGUCUGGGAUAGCUGCGGGAAACUGCAAUUAAUACCGGAUGACGUCUCUGGACCAAAGGUGUGAUUCCGCCAGGGGAUGGGCCUGCGUCCUAUUAGCUAGUUGGCGGGGUAAUGGCCCACCAAGGCAAAGAUGGGUACGGGGUGUGAGAGCAUGCCCCCGCUCACUGGGACUGAGACACUGCCCAGACACCUACGGGUGGCUGCAGUCGAGGAUCUUCCGCAAUGGGCGCAAGCCUGACGGAGCGACGCCGCGUGCGGGAUGAAGGCCUUCGGGUUGUAAACCGCUGUCAGUGGGGAGCAAAUGCAUCAGGGUUCUCCCUGGUGUUGAGCGAUCCGCAGAGAG
rnacentral:rRNA from 1 species